rnacentral:rRNA from 1 species
AACAAGGAUUCCCCUAGUAACUGCGAGUGAAGCGGGAAGAGCUCAAAUUUUGAAUCUGGCGGUCCUCGUGGUCGUCCGAGUUGUAAUCUAGAGAAGCGUUUUCCGCGCUGGACCGUGUACAAGUCUCCUGGAACGGAGCGUCAUAGAGGGUGAGAAUCCCGUCUCUGACACGGACUACCAGGGCUUUUGUGAUGCGCUCUCGACGAGUCGAGUUGUUUGGGAAUGCAGCUCAAAUUGGGUGGUAAAUUCCAUCUAAAGCUAAAUACAGGCGAGAGACCGAUAGCGAACAAGUACCGUGAGGGAAAGAUGAAAAGAACUUUGGAAAGAGAGUUAAACAGUACGUGAAAUUGCUGAAAGGGAAACGCUUGAAGUCAGUCGCGUUGGCCGGGGAUCAGCCUUGCAAUCUUGUUGGGUGCAUUUCCUGGUUGACGGGUCAGCAUCGAUUUUGACCGUCGGAGAAGGGUCGAGGGAAUGUGGCAUCCUUCGGGGUGUGUUAUAGCCUUUGAUCGUAUGCGACGGUUGGGAUCGAGGAACUCAGCAUGACCCCUCGUGGGUUUGGGGCUUCGGCUCACAUCCAUGCUUAGGAUGCUGGCAUAAUGGCUUUAAGCGAACCGUCUUGAAACACGGACCAAGGAGUCUAACAUGCCCGCGAGUGUUUGGGUGUUUAAAACCCGAGCGCGUAAUGAAAGUGAAAGUUGAGACCUCUGUCGUGGAGGGCAUCGACGCCCGGACCAGAACUUUUGUGACGGCCCUGCGGUAGAGCGYGUAUGUUGGGACCCGAAAGAUGGUGAACUAUGCCUGAAUAGGGUGAAGCCAGAGGAAACUCUGGUGGAGGCUCGUAGCGAUUCUGACGUGCAAAUCGAUCGUCGAAUUUGGG